ACCUAUCCCAUAACCUUUGUUGAGCCACAUUAGUGGCUGGUCGGGAGCACGUGCCAUCAACAAAACCAAUCUUAUUUUUAGCAUAUAAUGCAACAAACAUUUUUCUCCUCCAACCCCCAUAACCACUUCCCGAGAAGGGAGUGGGAACAAGAGAGACCCCAGGGACAUCAGAGGAGUAUACAAAAAGAGGACUGGUAGAGUCUACCGAGGAGCAGGUACCAGUAUUCGUAGUAGAAGUCAUGAUUAAUGCACCAGUUUGAAAAGAAAAAUAGUUUCGACAAGCAAAAUAUCACGAAACCAGAUAUUCACACACAAAGCCAAAUAAUCACACACAAAGUAUACAAUUCUCAAGAGAAGUACAGAGUUACCCUCCUUCUUCGCGACCGGAGAAGAUCGGCCUUCAGUCAAUCAGAGAAGACCCUAGGUACAAACCCUAGGUGCAACCGUUGCAAACCUUAUUGGAAAUAUGGUCAGGGAUGUCG
rnacentral:lncRNA from 1 species